rnacentral:rRNA from 1 species
GACGAACGCUGGCGGCGUGCUUAACACAUGCAAGUCGAACGGAAAGGCCCUGCUUUUGUGGGGUGCUCGAGUGGCGAACGGGUGAGUAACACGUGAGUAACCUGCCCUUGACUUUGGGAUAACUUCAGGAAACUGGGGCUAAUACCGGAUAGGAGCUCCUGCUGCAUGGUGGGGGUUGGAAAAUUUCGGCGGUUGGGGAUGGACUCGCGGCUUAUCAGCUUGUUGGUGGGGUAGUGGCUUACCAAGGCUUUGACGGGUAGCCGGCCUGAGAGGGUGACCGGCCACAUUGGGACUGAGAUACGGCCCAGCCUCCUACGGGAGGCAGCAGUGGGGAAUAUUGCACAAUGGGCGGAAGCCUGAUGGAGCAACGCCGCGUGCGGGAUGACGGCCUUCGGGUUGUAAACCGCUUUCGCCUGUGACGAAGCGUGAGUGACGGUAAUGGGUAAAGAAGCACCGGCUAACUACGUG